CCAGUCAAUGCUCUAACCAAUUGAGCUCUCUGACCAGGGUUUUACCACACCCUUUUCAUACUAUUGUACCAAGGAGCUCAUGCACUAAACAGCCACUUGCUAAAUGGGAAAAUGUGUGCUCCAGUUUUAGGGAACAUGCCUUGACCAGUUCUUCCCUAACUAUGCCCCUUCCCCGAAGGGCUUGGGAAUGGAUAACAGGACUUUUGAGUCAUCACUGGAAUAAACACAUUAAAGCCUCUUCAUAACGCCAUAUCUGUAACUGAAGGUGGGCGAGAACGGCAAGGAAGAAAACAGAAAAUUCUGUUCCAGUGUGCUCUCCACCUGGAAGGAACAAAAACAGCAUGAGAAGAAAGAACUGGAAACCUCUCUUCUCUUCUCCUAACUCAUAAAAACCACAGAUGCC